AUUUACAUUUGUAGUUGGGGAUGAAAGAUUUGAACUGUGCCUACCAGAGGGUCCUGAUCUGAAAAGAGGGUGAUAAUAGAAUACAGUAUGAGACAUUUCUGUUGAUGGGUAAGAAUCAUCACUCUGAAACAAGGCUGCCUGAAUCUGGAUCCUGGCUCUACCGCUUUCCAGCAACAUUGUGAGGAUUCAGCAAGUCUAGAAUUAUAAUCCCUAAUAUUUAUUUUUUAAGUAAAGGAUGGGAUGUCUGCUAAUUUCAAGUCAGCACCA
rnacentral:lncRNA from 1 species